ACAAUUCCAAUUUCUAUGGAGGAAUUAGAUGCCCAAGGCAGAAAAUCCUUCCUAAUUCUUCACUGGCCCAGAAGGAAUGUGCCUCAUCAAUGCUGAUUUUUUCCCCAAUCAUCAUGUUUCAUGCUGUGAAAUUAAUUCUGCACCACAGAACCACAAAGAAUUAAGAGUUGUGAUGAUUCCAGGCAAAGAUCUUUAUACGCAACACAUGAAUCCAAACAUGCAAUUAAUAAAGAGACUUUUUCCUCCUAUGAAGAAAUUCUCUAUCAAUUGGUGCCAGUUUGAAUUCUUUCCAUGCAUGUGAAAGGACUUUAGAUUUAUCAACAACUAUAUGGAUUUAUCUGAUCAAUUUUUCAAAAUUUUCUUACUGGUAAUUGCUGAAGUCUGGAAGCAUGAAAUAUGAAGAACAAAGAGGAAAUGAGAUGCAGAAUUGGGCUUAGCAGGACCUACAAUGACCAUCACCAUUAAAAAGACUGCAUGGAUGUCCAAAUCAGUCAAAAUCAUGUCACAGUAUCACAAAGGAGACCAGUACCAUAACUUCAAUGCUCUAUGGCAAAACCAUAUUGCAUAUUAAACAAACUAUUAUCACUAACAAAGAGAUAUCAAAGCAGAGAAUCAAAGGUUUCAUUCUUAGCCAAAAAUGAUAAUUCUUAUUUCAAAAUGACAACCAUAAAAUUUUUACUUUGUCAGAGGAUCAUUUCAAACUGUUGUCAAGCUUACCAGUGCAAAUGAUUUAAUUCUUCCACAAUGGCUUUAAACAUGAGAAAAAAUGGCAUCCUUUCACCUAUAGAUAUUAUAAUGAAUACAUUUUCUGCUAUAUUCUUUUUGGUAGCAAAGUAGAUUUAUGAGAACAUAGCAAAUUGAAGUCCUGCAUUAACGCCUCUCAAGUUUUGACAGGGUAUUUUCUAAGGUUGUGCCUAACGAUGACCAGUGGCCCUCAUAAAGUGACUCUGGUACUCAGAUGACAAGUCGAUUGAGGGCGAUUCCGUAGUGAUGUGUUUUUUGGAAUCAAUAUCCAUCACCUACCGGAUGAGCCAUUGCAAAACUGAUCCAAUCAAGCUCCCGCAUUCUGCCGACAACAGUUAAUCGCUGUGUGAUACACAAGAAGAAAUAGGAGACAUGUUCAUGAAGCUAAGAAAGAAAUCGCAGAGACUGAGAGUGCUUCAGUGAUGUAAUUCAAGCCUCUACAAGGCUUAAGGCUCUCCAGUAUUGGAAUUCUAGAGACGUUCAGGGAAAUCUACAGUUGUAUAACUAUAUAUGAAAUUGAAUUAAACUUGUAAUUUUUCACUAUCCAGUUUUCAUGAAUAUGUCUCUUGUGAGUAGUUUUCCAGUCCAUUAUCAUACAAGCUACACCACAAUUGGCAGAUCACAGGAACAAACUCAUUCAAACAUCUCUAUAAAUUAAAAGCAAAAUCAGUGAAACACUACCUUAAUGAGAUGAUUAAGACACUUCUGAGAUGAGAUGAGUAAGAUACUACCCUAUGAUGGCACAACUCCUUCAGCCAUCCAUGUAACUUAAGCAUCAGUUGUACUGGGUUAGUAUGUUCAGUGUAACCUCGUUUUUCUAAAUUGAUCAAGAUGCAACACUUGAGGGAAUACAAAAAAUUCCACCU
rnacentral:sRNA from 1 species